UAAAUGAUAAGUUAGACCACA
rnacentral:piRNA from 1 species